GGGCGGAUGGCGGAAUUGGCAGACGCGCAGGACUUAGGAUCCUGUGGAGAGAUCCGUGAGGGUUCAACUCCCUCUUCGCCCA
rnacentral:tRNA from 1 species